AUUGAACGCUGGCGGCAUGCCUUACACAUGCAAGUCGAACGGCAGCACGGGAGCAAUCCUGGUGGCGAGUGGCGAACGGGUGAGUAAUAUAUCGGAACGUGCCCAGUCGUGGGGAUAACGUAGCGAAAGCUACGCUAAUACCGCAUACGAUCUAUGGAUGAAAGCGGGGGAUCGCAAGACCUCGCGCGAUUGGAGCGGCCGAUAUCAGAUUAGGUAGUUGGUGAGGUAAAGGACUCACCAAGCCGACGAUCUGUAGCUGGUCUGAGAGGACGACCAGCCACACUGGGACUGAGACACGGCCCAGACUCCUACGGUGGCAGCAGUGGGGAAUUUUUGGACAAUGGGCGCAAGCCUGAUCCAGCAAUGCCGCGUGCAGGAUGAAGGCUCGG
rnacentral:rRNA from 1 species